UACGUAGGGGGCAAGCGUUGUCCGGAAUCAUUGGGCGUAAAGCGCGCGUAGGCGGCCCGGUAAGUCCGCUGUAAAAGUCCAGGGCUCAACCCUGGAAAGCCGGUGGAUACUGUCGGGCUAGAGUCCGGAAGAGGAGAGUGGAAUUCCUGGUGUAGCGGUGAAAUGCGCAGAUAUCAGGAAGAACACCAAUGGCGAAGGCAGCUCUCUGGGACGGUACUGACGCUGAGACGCGAAAGCGUGGGGAGCGAACAGG
rnacentral:rRNA from 1 species